AUACUCAUGUAAUCGCUGCACGUUUUUGCAGAGGAAAGUCCAUGCUCACACAAACUGCGAUGUUUGUAGUGUUCGUGCUUGACGAAUUCAUAAGUCAAGGUAGUCUUUAAAGACUAACGGCAGGUGAAGUUCCUAAGUCGCAAGAUAUGGAAUGAUAGCCUUGAAAGUGCCACAGUGACGGAGCUAAAGUGGAAACACUUUAGGUGGAACGAGGUAAACCCCACGAGUGAGCAACCCAAAUUAUGGUAGGGGCAUCCUUUAUUAGGGAAAUGAACCGAACGAGGGACAGGUAAUUCCUGUAGAUAGAUGAUUACAACCGGAGUACGAGGCUGACCACCGUUUGGAGUACAAUGGUACAGAACAUGGCUUAUCGAG
rnacentral:RNase_P_RNA from 1 species